UACGUAGGGACCAAGCGUUGUUCGGAUUUACUGGGCGUAAAGGGCGCGUAGGCGGCAAUUCAAGUCAGCUGUGAAAUCUCCGGGCUUAACUCGGAACGGUCAGCUGAUACUGCUUUGCUAGAGUGCAGAAGGGGCAAUCGGAAUUCUUGGUGUAGCGGUGAAAUGCGUAGAUAUCAAGAGGAACACCUGAGGUGAAGACGGGUUGCUGGGCUGACACUGACGCUGAGACGCGAAAGCGUGGGGAGCGAACAGG
rnacentral:rRNA from 1 species